AUGUUUAAAAGGUGGAAAGGUAUUAUUUAUUCAGAACAUGGCAGAAAAAUAUAUAGUGUGCAUAAAUUGGUAAAUAGAAUUUAUUACUGCCUAUAA
rnacentral:rRNA from 1 species